CCUACGGGAGGCAGCAGUGAGGAAUAUUGGUCAAUGGACGAGAGUCUGAACCAGCCAAGUAGCGUGAAGGAUGACUGCCCUAUGGGUUGUAAACUUCUUUUAUAAAGGAAUAAAACGCGGCACGUGUGCCUUUUUGCAUGUACCUUAUGAAUAAGGAUCGGCUAACUCCGUGCCAGCAGCCGCGGUAAUACGGAGGAUCCGAGCGUUAUCCGGAUUUAGUGGGUUUAAAGGGAGCGUAGAUGGGUUGUUAAGUCAGUUGUGAAAGUUUGCGGCUCAACCGUAAAAUUGCAAUUGAUACUGGCAGUCUUGAGUACAGUUGAGGUAGGCGGAAUUCGUGGUGUAGCGGUGAAAUGCUUAGAUAUCACGAAGAACCCCGAUUGCGAAGGCAGCUUACUAAACUGUGACUGACAUUGAUGCUCGAAAGUGUGGGUAUCAAACAGGAUUAGAUACCCCUGUAGUC
rnacentral:rRNA from 1 species